rnacentral:rRNA from 1 species
GUGGGGAAUCUUGCGCAAUGGGCGAAAGCCUGACGCAGCCAUGCCGCGUGAAUGAUGAAGGUCUUAGGAUUGUAAAAUUCUUUCACCGGGGACGAUAAUGACGGUACCCGGAGAAGAAGCUCCGGCUAACUUCGUGCCAGCAGCCGCGGUAAUACGCAGGGGGCUAGCGUUGCUCGGAAUUACUGGGCGUAAAGGGCGCGUAGGCGGACAGCUUAGUCAGAGGUGAAAGCCCAGGGCUCAACCUUGGAAUUGCCUUUGAUACUGGCUGUCUUGAGUUUGGGAGAGGUGAGUGGAACUCCGAGUGUAGAGGUGAAAUUCGUAGAUAUUCGGAAGAACACCAGUGGCGAAGGCGACUCACUGGCCCAAUACUGACGCUGAGGCGCGAAAGCGUGGGGAGCAAACAGGAUUAGAAACCCUGGUAGUCC